rnacentral:lncRNA from 1 species
AUUCCCAUCCCCCUUCUCUAGUCCCCGACCUGCGGCAGCCGGAGCUCGGGGAGCGGAGCGUGGUGGGGAGGGGAGCGGGACAGGCGACACAGGAGACAGCGGCGCCGCGGCCUCUCCCCACCAGGCGGCCCCGGAUCCUACUGGACGCCCUGAGGGCACACCGACCGCGCCUCUAGAGUCACCCCACGCCGACCCCUCCCCUCUUCUCUAGACUUAUUUCCAUCCUUCCCGCUUUUACCCUCCCCACCCCUCCCUGGGCUCCAGGCCGCCGCCCCCUCCUCACUCCUGGACCGGCCCUUCUCGGUGCCCCUCUUCCCUAGGGAGAUGCGAUGAGCCGGUGCCCCCGCGUCCUCAUCGUCGCCCCGGGCACGGUGCCCGUCCAGUGCCCGUGGUGGGGAGGGAGCACUCCGCGGUCCCUCCGUGACGCCCCUCGCUUGGCCCCCCCCACAGCUGGCGUCCCUCGGCCAUGCCCCAGGGGACCCAGCCAGGGGGUGGGCUCUAGAGCGAGUGGGGUGGAGAGGAGAAAGGACGGGGCCUUGGGCGCCUCUGAGAUGCUCCCAAGUGCCAGGGAGGGCCGAGCGAGGCGCAGGCAACCGGGCAGCAGGCAUGAUGCCCUCGCCUAGUGACUCCAGCCGCUCGCUGACCAGCCGGCCCAGCACCAGGGGCCUUACCCACCUCCGCCUCCACCGACCCUGGCUGCAGGCCCUGCUUACGCUGGGGCUGGUCCAAGUGCUCCUGGGCAUCCUGGUGGUCACCUUCAGCAUGGUGGCCUCUUCCGUCACCACCACCGAGAGCAUCAAGAGGUCCUGCCCGUCUUGGGCUGGGUUCUCGCUGGCGUUCUCCGGGGUGGUUGGCAUUGUGUCCUGGAAGCGGCCAUUCACUCUAGUGAUCUCCUUCUUCUCCUUGCUUUCGGUGCUCUGUGUCAUGCUUAGCAUGGCUGGCUCUGUUCUCUCCUGUAAGAAUGCUCAACUGGCCCGAGACUUCCAACAGUGCUCUCUGGAAGGAAAGGUCUGUGUGUGCUGUCCCUCUGUUCCCCUCCUCCGGCCCUGUCCAGAGUCGGGGCAGGAACUGAAAGUUGCCCCUAACUCCACCUGUGAUGAAGCCCGAGGGGCCCUCAAGAACCUGCUCUUCAGCGUCUGUGGGCUCACCAUUUGUGCCGCUAUAAUCUGUACACUCUCUGCUAUUGUCUGCUGCAUCCAAAUCUUCUCCCUGGACCUCGUGCAUACGGUGAGAAGGGAGCAGGGGCCAGGGCACGCAGGUAUGGUGGGGGCAGGGGUGUGUGUGCUGAGACUUGCCUGAGGGAACAAUGGCUACAGAUCUGGCUUUUGAGCACCAGGGGCUAUGGGUUAUCUAUUAUCCUCAUCUAUUGGAGGAAUGGAUGUUUAGUGGGGAGGAUGAGAAGGGGAGAUGGCAGGGAGUGAGUUAAGUAUGUGAUGCUGGUCUGGGACCAGGAGAGGGUGCUUUAGAGAAUGGGACUGGAUGGUGGGGUAGAGUCAAGAAGGUCCUAUGCUGGGCACGGUGGCUCAUUCCUGUAAUCCCAGCACUUUGAGAGGCCCAGGCAGGCGGAUCACCUGAGGCCAGGAGUUCAAGACCCACCUGGCCAACAUGGCGAAACCCUGUCUCUAUUAAAAAUACAAAAAUCGGGCCGGGCGCAGUGGCUCGUGCCUAUAAUCCCAGCACUUUGGGAGGCUGAGGAGGGCAGAUCACCUGAGAUCAGGAGAUCGAGACUAUCCUGGCUAACAUGGUGAAACCCCAUCUCUACUAAACAUACAAAAAAUUAGCCAGGCGUGGUGGCGGGCGCCUGUGGUCCCAGCUACUCGGGAGGCUGAGGCAGGAGAAUGGCAUGAACCUGGGAGGCAGAGCUUGCAGUGAGCUGAGAUAGUGCCACUGCACUCCAGCCUGGGCGACAGAGCAAGACUCCAUCUCAAAAAACAAACAAACGAAAUACAAAAAUUAGCCAAGUGUGGUGGCGGGUGCCUGUAAUCCCAGCUACUUGGGAGUCUGAGGCAGGAAAAUUGCUUGAACCGGGGAGACAGAGGCUGCAGUGAGCUGAGAUGGUGCCACUGCAUUCCAGCCUGGGCGACAAGAGCAAGACUCCGUCUC